rnacentral:tRNA from 1 species
GCCGAGGUGGCGGAACUGGCAGACGCAGGGGACUUAAAAUCCCCCGCCCCGCAGGGGGCAUGCGGGUUCGAGUCCCGCCCUCGGCACCG